UAGUUUGUCAAGGGUGCUGAGAGUUGUUAGGAGAGCCCUAUUCUCACAGAACUACAGUUUCCAGAGUGGUUUAACAAUCCCUCUUCCCAAGGAAUUCUGGAAACUGUACCUCUAUGAGGGGAAUAGGGGUCUCCCUAACAGUUUUCAGCACCCUUAACAGACUA